ACACAAAAAACAAAGACAAAAAGAGUUCCCUCCAAAUUAUUUUCCUCUAAUUAUUUUAUGCCUAAAUCAAAGCUUUCUUUUCCUAUUAAAGAGCCAAAACCCUAAAAAACUAAUCACUCAAAAGAAAGAAAAAGAAAGGUGCCGUCACCAAUCUUCAAAUUUCUCGACUCCAUAACUAGGCCUUUUAGCCUCAACUUCAACUAACCUCUUUUAUGAUCUAGAAUUGAAUACGCCUGCCUAUGAAUAUUUGUACCCAAAAACUUGUUUCAUCUUUUAUGACCCACAUGGGUUAGGAAAUGUGGACAGAUUUUUUGUUUAGCCAUGGGCAUGUAGUUGCUGAUCAGGAAGAGAAUUAUUUUAUAAUUCAAAUUAUGCUUGGAGCUCAAGGUGAACAAUCAAAUGAUGCAAAUGCAACGCUUUUGGAUGAGUGAUGAAAGCACCAAAAUCGACGGGGACAUGAAUAAUCAUUCCUUUUUCUUGUAAACAUAUCGAUAUGUUUGAAUAGAAUGAUGUUUCACUAUUUUAAAUAAUAUUGUUGAACCUUUAUUAAGUCUGUUUUCUAAUAUAUUGCAUCU